rnacentral:rRNA from 1 species
UACGUAGGGUGCGAGCGUUGUCCGGAAUUAUUGGGCGUAAAGAGCUCGUAGGCGGCCUGUCACGUCGGUUGUGAAAGCCCGGGGCUUAACCCCGGGUCUGCAGUCGAUACGGGCAGGCUAGAGUUCGGUAGGGGAGAUCGGAAUUCCUGGUGUAGCGGUGAAAUGCGCAGAUAUCAGGAGGAACACCGGUGGCGAAGGCGGAUCUCUGGGCCGAUACUGACGCUGAGGAGCGAAAGCGUGGGGAGCGAACAGG